rnacentral:rRNA from 1 species
AUGGUGUCUCACGGUCUCACUCUCACCGCACACAUCACCACUUUCUCGGUCUCUCCAGUGAGAGUAGGUGCGGCUGACUCUCUCCACUCCUCACUUUCUUCCUCCUCCAGCCGCCUCCUCUGUAACUCGGCGCCUCCUCUGCAGCAGGCCGCAUCCUCUGCCGCCACGACGUCGCCCGGCGCCCCCACCCACCCACACCACCACCACCACCACCACCACCACGGCCUUGCCCCGUCUCCUCCUAUCCCCACCAGGGCCUCGCCCCGCCGCCCUUAUCCCCAGCACGGCCUCGCCCCGCUCCCUUCUCUCACCACCGCGGCCUUGCCACGCCGCCAACCCCGCGGAUCUUCCCUAGAUCGACUCUGCCGCCUCCAUCCUACUGCCCCAGAGGAGGUCGAGAUGCGGAGCAGGCAUAUCGAAUUGGAUUGAGAUCGAGUGCGUCGACGUGCCCAUCGUAAUCAUCGCCCCCCGUGCUUGGCUCAAACAGUCGCUCUGGGAAGGAGUUCGCAGCUCGCGUACGUGCUCUACAGGAUCAGCCUGAUCUCUAUGUCGCCGCUGUUGCCAGAAUCUAUCCUCAAGUCUCACAAAGCGGUUGCUUCAUAGUUCCCACUAUUUAUAUCACAGCCAUAGAAUGGUACAAAUGGAGAAGUAAGAAAAUAAGGCUUGGAGUUAUACCCAAAUAACAUUUAUGAUUGAAGUGGCGGUGGUAACACAGUCAGUUGGGAGGACCCAAUGGCAGAGUCGAUAUUAUUGACAUUUUCCUUGUUAGAAAUGGCGGCAUCUGGUGUUCUUAAUGAAUUUGGACCAUGAGGUGGAGUCUGAUCACUCAUUAUCACAUCAACAGGUAUGCCUGCAUCAUAAUUGUAUGUACAAUGUCAGUUGUUGACACACAAACGCCGAUAUUAUGGUUGGAUGUAGGAGAACACAUGACCUUCCGCAGCUUGUGUGUGUCGUUGUUGGGUGACAGCAGACUGCGCACUAGGCCUCUCCAAAGUGUCAAAACCUGUCCAAAAGAACAGUUAAUUAACAUGAAUUUACUUGUGAUUCAUGAAAUGUAUGGUUAAAAACAGAGAAAAUGGAGUAACCAAUCGACAUGGCCCCAUGUGGCUUAGAUGGAGUGUUGAUUCCAUUUAGAAUAGCAGCCGUAGCUUUCUUACGAUCCCUUGCCUCCUGUCUUUUCUUUAAUAUUGCAUCCCUGUUUAGUGCAUACCUCUCCCUUUCCCUCUGUCUCUUCAGCUCUUUUGGAUCUGGUUUUUGACCUAUGAGACAAUGGCAUAUUUUGGAUUUACAAGAUCAAAGUAGGUAAGAGUAGGUGAUAUAUGUAUUUACCUGAAUUGUUGUUGUUUGUCAGGUCCUGAAAGGGAGUACUUAUCCCACUACGCUGAGAGGAUGCCAUAUUGUAUUCUCAAUGGUUCUUUUUGUGAAAACACUUAUUUAACCCUUCGUCAACUCAGUUUGUUCAUGAUAUACUAUAAGUAUCAAUUUUCACAGUACAAAUUACUGACUGCCAGAUUGAAAGAGCAAUUUCCUUUGUCUUUUGUCGGAUCAUAAGACAUGCAAAUUAAAUUGAUCUAACCUGUGGCACUGGCAUGUCAAGAUGCUGCUGCCCACAUGGGGUGAUGACACCGCAGAGAGGGCAGCGCGUCGGGUUGAGGACGUCCACCGGGUCGAGGACGUCGCGGACAGGGCGAGGGCGGCGUGGCGAGGACGGCGGGGCGAGGGGAGGUAGGGAAGCAAGGCGGGUCGAGGACGUCGCGGAGACCAGGGGCGAGGGCGGCGGGGCGGCUGGCCGAGGUGAGGUUCGUGGCGUGAUGGCGGCGUUGAUCGUGGAGGAUCGUGGCGUGGUGGGGCUGUGUAGCAUCCUGAACGGGGGAGUCUGCUGGCAGAACAUUCGUUUUGAACCGUAGAUCUGUUUGAUGUAACGUGGACUGUUGGAUGCAUCUAAGUGGGUUUGAUCGGACGUGGGCGGUUAUCUCGUGUGCACUUUGUGGGGCAUGUUUGGUCUUUUAAUAGUAGUAUAGAUAGGAAAACAACAACUAUACCAAGUGCAUCAAGAUAGUGUUCAAUCUUGGGGAAGUAAAGCUUCCUCAGUACACUGUGGACCUAAUGGUUGAAGAUAACUGGAAAGCUCUUAGAAAUUUUAGGCAGUCUAAGGCCUCUGUUUUACUUGUGGUGAGAAAGGUUCAAGGAUCAUGCGUGCAAGCUAGGAGUUCAACUUCAUGGCUCAACUCCAUGGUGUGGAAGAAAUGAUUGAAUCGGUGCAAUGUUCUUCACCUGUCCUUUCUGAAUGUCCUCACAAUCAACAUGUUUCUUUCCAGGUAAUGUCCAUUUCUGUAGCUUCUUUAGGCAAAGAUUGUUCAACCCCAAGAUUACAACUGGUUUGGAAAUUCAAGGGCACUCUUUUAUAUUCUUGGUGGAAACUAGGAGUACCAUUCAUUUAUUGACAACAACUUUCGUGUGUCUUGCAAAAUGUUCAGGAUAUUCAACCAACGAAGUUGGGAUCUUAUGAUGGCAUUCUAGGAUUGGAUUGGCCGGCCAACCACAACCCUAUGAAAUUUGAUUGGGAGGAAAAGUGGAUUGCUCUAAGUUGCAAAGGAAAAAGGUCACACUACAAGAAUUGUUGCCUAAGGAAUGUGCUCCCACUUGUAUUUCCUUAGCAACCCUGUCUGAAUGUGAACAUGCAUCUACCUGUUGCAAAGCCACUACAACAAAUUUUAGACAAAUACCAAGAAGUAUUUAAACCACCUGAAGGGUUGCCACCAAAAAGACAAUAUGAUCAUGUCAUUCCCUUAGUCACCAGGGCCAGGCCAAUAUCUAUCAGGCCCUAUAUGGUUGCUCCACAACUUAAAGAUAAACUGGAGGAACAUGUAGCUGAAUUGCUUAAAACUAGAAUGAUUAGACACAACAAUAGUCUCUUUUCUCCUCCUGUUAUACUGGUCAAGAAAAAGAAGGGGUUGGAGGAUGGUACUAGAUUAUAGACAUCUAAAUGCCAUAUCUGUCAAGGGUAAGUGCCCCAUUCCUAUCGUUGAUGAAUUAUUGGACGAAUUACAGCUGUUGCAUGGUUUUCUAAGCUGGACUUAAAGGCAUGAUAUCACCAAAUAAGAUUGGCACCUAGUGAGGAAUACAAAACAACCUUCCAGACACAUAAUGGGCACUUUGAGACUUCUGUCUUAGCAUUUGGCCUUUCUGGAGCACCAGGCACCUUCCAGGGUGCCAUGAAUUACUCAUUGUCUUCUUGUCUAAGAGUAUGUGAUGUGGUGCUUUUUGAUGAUAUCCUCAUAUUCAGUAAAAACUUUGAGGAACAUUUGUCUCAUGUGGAGAAGGUUUUGAGAAUUCUUCAGAAAGACUCUCGGAAAUUCAAAAUGUCCAAAAAUGUGCAUUUGCUUAGUAACAAAUAGCUUAUUUGAGUCACAUUGUCAGUGCAGAAAGGGUUUGUAUUGAUCCUGGUAAGGUGGUUACUAUUUAGAAUUUGCCUCAUCCUACUAAUGUUAAAGAAGUGGGAGGAUUCCUUGGUUUGAGUGGAUAUUACAGAAAAUGCAUUAAGCAAUAUGGUCUGAUUUGUAAACCUCUGACUGAGUUGUUAAAAAAGGGAACGAUUUUUGUGCGGAGUUCCAUCACUUAAGAAGCAUUAAACUUCAUCAAACAAGUUUUGGUCUCUACCCCUGUUUUAGCUUUGCCCGGCUUUGAUCUUCCUUUCACUAUUGAAACAGAUGCAUGUGAC